rnacentral:pre_miRNA from 7 species
CUUUGGGGCUCCUGGGGGUCACGCAAAUCCUGAACAAGCCCUCACAUGAAAGACCCCCAUGGGGAGACCCUCACUCAAGUCUCUGUAUGGUGCGCACCCAAGGAAACAGGAAAGA